rnacentral:rRNA from 1 species
UACAGAGGGCUCAAGCGUUGUUCGGAUUCAUUGGGCGUAAAGGGUGCGUAGGCGGCGGGGUAAGUCGGAUGUGAAAUCCCGGGGCUCAACCCCGGAACUGCAUUCGAUACUGCUCUGCUAGAGUACUGGAGAGGAGACUGGAAUUUACGGUGUAGCAGUGAAAUGCGUAGAUAUCGUAAGGAAGACCAGUGGCGAAGGCGAGUCUCUGGACAGUUACUGACGCUGAGGCACGAAGGCCAGGGGAGCAAACGGG